UGGGGAAUUUUGCACAAUGGGGGAAACCCUGAUGCAGCGACGCCGCGUGAUUUAGAAGGCCUUCGGGUUGUAAAAAUCUUUUGUAUGGGAAGAAAAUGACAGUACUAUACGAAUAAGGACCGGCUAAUUACGUGCCAGCAGCCGCGGUAAUACGUAAGGUCCGAGCGUUGUCCGGAAUCAUUGGGCGUAAAGGGUACGUAGGCGGGUAAGCAAGUUAGAAGUGAAAUCCUAUAGCUCAACUAUAGUAAGCUUUUAAAACUGCUCAUCUUGAGGUAUGGAAGGGAAAGUGGAAUUCCUAGUGUAGCGGUGAAAUGCGCAGAUAUUAGGAGGAAUACCGGUGGCGAAGGCGACUUUCUGGCAAUAACCUGACGCUGAGGUACGAAAGCGUGGGUAGCAAACAGG
rnacentral:rRNA from 1 species